rnacentral:rRNA from 1 species
UAGGGAAUCUUCGGCAAUGGACGGAAGUCUGACCGAGCAACGCCGCGUGAGUGAAGAAGGUUUUCGGAUCGUAAAGCUCUGUUGUAAGAGAAGAAUGAGUGUGAGAGUGGAAAGUUCACACUGUGACGGUAUCUUACCAGAAAGGGACGGCUAACUACGUGCCAGCAGCCGCGGUAAUACGUAGGUCCCGAGCGUUGUCCGGAUUUAUUGGGCGUAAAGCGAGCGCAGGCGGUUAGAUAAGUCUGAAGUUAAAGGCUGUGGCUUAACCAUAGUAGGCUUUGGAAACUGUUUAACUUGAGUGCAAGAGGGGAGAGUGGAAUUCCAUGUGUGGCGGUGAAAUGCGUAGAUAUAUGGAGGAACACCGGUGGCGAAAGCGGCUCUCUGGCUUGUAACUGACGCUGAGGCUCGAAAGCGUGGGGAGCAAACAGGAUUAGAUACCCUGGUAGUCCACGCUGUAAACGAUGAGUGCUAGGUGUUAGACCCUUUCCGGGGUUUAGUGCCGUAGCUAACGCAUUAAGCACUCCGCCUGGGGAGUACGACCGCAAGGUUG